rnacentral:rRNA from 1 species
UNUGACUUGAGUGCAGAAGGGGAGAGUGGAACNCCAUGUGUAGCGGUGAAAUGCGUAGAUAUAUGGAGGANCACCAGUGGCGAAAGCGGCUCUCUGNUCUGUCACUGACGCUGAGGCUCGAAAGCGUGGGUAGCGANCAGGAUUAGAUACCCUGGUAGUCCACGCCGUAAACGAUGAGUGCUAGGUGUUAGGCCCUUUCCGGGGCUUAGUGCCGGAGCUAACGCAAUAAGCACUCCGCCUGGGGAGUACGACCGCAAGGUUGAAACUCAAAGGAAUUGACGGGGGCCCGCACAAGCGGUGGAGCAUGUGGUUUAAUUCGAAGCAACGCGAAGAACCUUACCAGGUCUUGACAUCCCGAUGCUAUUCUUAGAGAUAGGAAGUUACUUCGGUACAUCGGAGACAGGUGGUGCAUGGUUGUCGUCAGCUCGUGUCGUGAGAUGUUGGGUUAAGUCCCGCAACGAGCGCAACCCUUAUUGUUAGUUGCCAUCAUUAAGUUGGGCACUCUAGCGAGACUGCCGGUAAUGAACCGGAGGAAGGUGGGGAUGACGUCAAAUCAUCAUGCCCCUUAUGACCUGGGCUACACACGUGCUACAAUGGUCGGUACAACGAGUUGCGAGCCGGUGACGGCAAGCUAAUCUCUGAAAGCCGAUCUCAGUUCGGAUUGGAGGCUGCAACUCGCCUCCAUGAAGUCGGAAUCGCUAGUAAUCGCGGAUCAGCACGCCGCGGUGAAUACGUUCCCGGGCCUUGUACACACCGCCCGUCACACCACGAGAGUUUGUAACACCC